CCUGAGUUGCUGUUCAUUAGGGCUGUGGAGAGGUUUGGUCCCUGAUUCGCUUCAGUGGAGACUUGGCCCGAUUCAGUGGCUGAAUCUCCAAAUCAAAUCAGAGGACCCUUUAAUCUCUCCAAAUA